AACGAACGCUGGCGGCAUGCCUAACACAUGCAAGUCGAACGAGACCUUCGGGUCUAGUGGCGCACGGGUUCGUAACGCGUGGGAACCUGCCCUUAGGUUCGGAAUAACUCCCCGAAAGGGGUGCUAAUACCGGAUAAUGUCUUCGGCCCAAAGAUUUAUCGCCUUUGGUUGGGCCCGCGUUGGAUUCGCUAGUUGGUAGGGUAAAAGCCUACCAAGGCGACGAUCCAUAGCUGGUCUGAGAGGAUGAUCAGCCACACUGGGACUGAGACACGGCCCAGACUCCUACGGGAGGAAGCAGUGGGGAAUAUUGGAAAAUGGGCGAAAGCCUGAUCCAGCAAUGCCGCGUGAGUGAUGAAGGCCUUAGGGUUGUAAAGCUCUUUUACCCGGGAUGAUAAUGACAGUACCGGGAGAAUAAGCUCCGGCUAACUCCGUG
rnacentral:rRNA from 1 species